rnacentral:rRNA from 1 species
CCUACGGGGGGCUGCAGUGGGGAAUAUUGCGCAAUGGGCGCAAGCCUGAUGCAGCCAUGCCGCGUGUGUGAAGAAGGCCUUCGGGUUGUAAAGCACUUUCAGCGGGGAGGAGGGCGUUAAGGUUAAUAACCUUGGCGAUUGACGUUACCCGCAGAAGAAGCACCGGCUAACUCCGUGCCAGCAGCCGCGGUAAUACGGAGGGUGCAAGCGUUAAUCGGAAUUACUGGGCGUAAAGCGCACGCAGGCGGUCUGUCAAGUCGGAUGUGAAAUCCCCGGGCUCAACCUGGGAACUGCAUUCGAAACUGGCAGGCUAGAGUCUUGUAGAGGGGGGUAGAAUUCCAGGUGUAGCGGUGAAAUGCGUAGAGAUCUGGGGGAAUACCGGUGGCGAAGGCGGCCCCCUGGACAAAGACUGACGCUCAGGUGCGAAAGCGUGGGGAGCAAACAGGAUUAGAUACCCGAGUAGUC